rnacentral:rRNA from 1 species
UACGUAGGGGGCGAGCGUUGUCCGGAUUUAUUGGGCGUAAAGAGCGUGUAGGCGGCCAGGUAGGUCUGCUGUGAAAACUCGAGGCUCAACCUCGAGACGUCGGCGGAAACCAUCUAGCUAGAGUCCGGAAGAGGAGAGUGGAAUUCCUGGUGUAGCGGUGAAAUGCGCAGAUAUCAGGAAGAACACCCGUGGCGAAGGCGGCUCUCUGGGACGUGACUGACGCUGAGACGCGAAAGCGUGGGGAGCGAACAGG